UUGUUCUAAAAAAAAGUAGGAGCAUUUACGCCAUGUCCACUAUAAAAGGCUCGUCAUUCAUCUCUUCUCUCUCAAAAGUCACAACUCACCAUUCUGCCAACAACAAGAUUACAAAUUCCUCUGUCAGAAUUAACACAUCAUCUAGCUAAAGAUGAGGGCCACCCUAACGCUGCUGCUACCUCUCGCGUUCCUCCUCCUCGUGCUAGCACCAGCUAAGGCGAGGUGUCGGGUGCAAGGACAAACCCGAGCCGCCUUGUCCAUGCAACCAGGCGGAGUGUAACACCGAUAGCCGCGUAGCGUACGGUCACCUUGGGUGCCCGAAAUCUGCGACCAGCUGCUCUUGGACAGGACUGUGCAUGAGUCAGGGGUGCAACUUCACCUACUGCGUAUAUAGAUAAGAUAGGAAGGCAUGUCGACCUGAUAGAAUAAUAAAGAUGAUACCAUGGAUGGCAAUGCAGUAUGUAGUUCUAUUCGCUGCAAAGUGAUGUACCUGAAUGGUGAAUUAUUUACAUGCCUACCAUGGAUAUGUCUCUUUUUUAUAUUAUCCAGAAAUAAAAAGUGUUCACUUUA